UCUCACAAUCAAGUCGAUUUGAGCGAGGGUGGAGCUGAGCUAUGUUACAAAUGUGCACACAACAGAGCUUGUUUGUUUGCUGUGGAGGAUCUGUCACACUUUAAAACCAGCCUGCCUGGAAAGUGAGUA